GACGAACCGUGCGAACGUUGUUCGGAUUCACUGGGCUUAAAGGGCGCGUAGGCGGGCCACCAAGUCAGGGGUGAAAUCUUUCGGCUCAACCGGAAAAGUGCCUUUGAUACUGGCGGCCUCGAGGGAGGUAGGGGCAUGCGGAACUUCCGGUGGAGCGGUGAAAUGCGUAGAUAUCGGAAGGAACGCCGGUGGCGAAAGCGGCGUGCUGGACCUCUUCUGACGCUGAGGCGCGAAAGCUAGGGGAGCAAACGGG
rnacentral:rRNA from 1 species